AUUGAACGCUGGCGGCAGGCCUAACACAUGCAAGUCGAGCGGAUGAAGGGAGCUUGCUCCUGGAUUCAGCGGCGGACGGGUGAGUAAUGCCUAGGAAUCUGCCUCGUAGUGGGGGAUAACGUCCGGAGACGGGCGCUAAUACCGCAUUCGUCCUGAGGGAGUAAGUGGGGGAUCUUCGGACCUCACGCCAUCAGACGAGCCGAGGUGGGAUUAGCUGGUUGGUGGGGUAAAGGCCUACCAAGGCGACGGUCCGUAACUGGUCUGAGAGGAUGAGCAGUCACACUGGAACUGGGACACGGUCCAGACUCCUACGGGAGGCAGCAGUGGGGAAUAUUGGCCAAUGGGCGAAAGCCUGAUCCAGACAUGCCGCGUGGGUGAAGAAGGUCUUCGGAUUGUAAAGCACUUUAAGUUGGAAGGAAGAGCAGUAAGUUAAUACCUUGCUGUUUUGACGUUACCAACAGAAUAAGCACCGGCUAACUUCGUG
rnacentral:rRNA from 1 species